rnacentral:rRNA from 1 species
UGGGGAAUAUUGGACAAUGGGCGCAAGCCUGAUCCAGCCAUGCCGCGUGAGUGAUGAAGGCCCUAGGGUUGUAAAGCUCUUUCACCGGUGAAGAUAAUGACGGUAAUCGGAGAAGAAGCCCCGGCUAACUUCGUGCCAGCAGCCGCGGUAAUACGAAGGGGGCUAGCGUUGUUCGGAUUUACUGGGCGUAAAGCGCACGUAGGCGGACUAUUAAGUCAGGGGUGAAAUCCCGGGGCUCAACCCCGGAACUGCCUUUGAUACUGGUAGUCUUGAGUUCGAGAGAGGUGAGUGGAAUUCCGAGUGUAGAGGUGAAAUUCGUAGAUAUUCGGAGGAACACCAGGGGCGAAGGCGGCUCACUGGCUCGGUACUGACGCUGAGGUGCGAAAGCGUGGGGAGCAAACAGG